AUAGCUAGCAUCACAACCGAGCGGAUGGCGAGCUUAAUUCUCCAGCCAAUCGAUUUUUCUCCCCGUUUCUUGUUUUUUUUUCAUUUUAUUUUUUGACCUACUAGAGCUAGGGUUCGUCGAGAAGCUACCAUCCCUUGUAGAACUACUUUAAGAUACUGGAGUAGUGAAUUGAUGCCUUAGAUGAGAUAGAUCUCCUUUCUUCAACCCUGG
rnacentral:lncRNA from 1 species